rnacentral:rRNA from 1 species
GUCGAGAAUCUUCCGCAAUGCGCGCAAGCGUGACGGAGCGACGCCGCGUGGGCGAUGAAGGCCUUCGGGUUGUAAAGCCCUGUUAGCUACGCUGAAUGGCGGGCGAUGAACAGUCGUCCCGCUUGACGUAAGUAGCAAAGAAAGCACCGGCUAACUACGUGCCAGCAGCCGCGGUAAUACGUAGGGUGCAAACGUUGUUCGGAAUCACUGGGCAUAAAGGGCGCGUAGGCGGUCCAGCCAGUCCGGUGUGAAAUCCCCCGGCUUAACCGGGGAACGGCAUCGGAUACUGCUGGGCUAGAGUGCAGGAGGGGAGAGCGGAAUUCCUGGUGGAGCGGUGAAAUGCGUAGAUAUCAGGAGGAACGCCGGUGGCGAAAGCGGCUCUCUGGCCUGUCACUGACGCUGAGGCGCGAAAGCUAGGGGAGCAAACGGGAUUAGAAACCCUUGUAGUCC